UCCUCUGUAGCUCAAUCGGCAGAGCAUGCGGCUGUUAACCGCAGGGUUGUUGGUUCGAGUCCAACCGGGGGAGCCA
rnacentral:tRNA from 1 species